ACGAGCUUCACGUCGUUUUCGAUCGCCGAACGUCUGAUCUGAGCGAAGCUGUAGGCGGCCGAUGAAUCGAUCCCGGUCACCAGCUUGAAAUCGAAGACUAGAUAGCGGCACUCGGGAUGAUGCUCCAGCAACAUCUUGACGUGCUGGUAAAGGCGAUUGGCCGAGCCGAAGAACAGAUAGCUUUGCAGGUUGAGCCCGUGGAUAUCCUUGCCGUGGGCUGCCAGCAGCGCCAGAUCGUGCUGCGAACGAUCGAGCGAGCUGCGAUACUCCGCACCGU
rnacentral:misc_RNA from 1 species